rnacentral:rRNA from 1 species
UACGGGAGGCAGCAGGGGGAAUAUUGGACAAUGGGCGGAAGCCUGAUCCAGCCAUGCCGCGUGUGUGAAGAAGGCCUUUUGGUUGUAAAGCACUUUAAGCGAGGAGGAGGCUACUAGUACUAAUACUACUGGAUAGUGGACGUUACUCGCAGAAUAAGCACCGGCUAACUCUGUGCCAGCAGCCGCGGUAAUACAGAGGGUGCGAGCGUUAAUCGGAUUUACUGGGCGUAAAGCGUGCGUAGGCGGCUGAUUAAGUCGGAUGUGAAAUCCCUGAGCUUAACUUAGGAAUUGCAUUCGAUACUGGUCAGCUAGAGUAUGGGGAGAGGAUGGUAGAAUUCCAGGUGUGGCGGUGAAAUGCGUAGAGAUCUGGAGGAAUACCGAUGGGCGAAGGCAGCCAUCUGGCCUAAUACUGACGCUGAGUACGAAAGCAUGGGGAAGGCGGAAAACAGGGAUUAGGAAUAACC